rnacentral:tRNA from 1 species
UUAAAUGGCUGAAAGAUUAGGCGGUAGAUUGUAAAUCUAUUUAUAGGAGGUUGUUCCUUUUAAUCA